rnacentral:rRNA from 1 species
CAGGUCUUCGGAUGCUGACGAGUGGCGAACGGGUGAGUAAUACAUCGGAACGUGCCCGAGAGUGGGGGAUAACGGAGCGAAAGCUUUGCUAAUACCGCAUACGAUCUACGGAUGAAAGCAGGGGACCGCAAGGCCUUGCGCUCAUGGAGCGGCCGAUGGCAGAUUAGGUAGUUGGUGGGAUAAAAGCUUACCAAGCCGACGAUCUGUAGCUGGUCUGAGAGGACGACCAGCCACACUGGGACUGAGACACGGCCCAGACUCCUACGGGAGGCAGCAGUGGGGAAUUUUGGACAAUGGGCGAAAGCCUGAUCCAGCCAUGCCGCGUGCAGGAUGAAGGCCUUCGGG